UCAUGGCUCAGGACGAACGCUGGCGGCGUGCCUAAUACAUGCAAGUCGAGCGGAUCUUUGGGAGCUUGCUCCCAAAGAUUAGCGGCGGACGGGUGAGUAACACGUGGGUAACCUGCCUGUAAGAUUGGGAUAACUCCGGGAAACCGGAGCUAAUACCGGAUAACAUUUUGAACCGCAUGGUUCGAAAUUGAAAGGUGGCUUUUGCUACCACUUACAGAUGGACCCGCGGCGCAUUAGCUAGUUGGUGAGGUAAUGGCUCACCAAGGCAACGAUGCGUAGCCGACCUGAGAGGGUGAUCGGCCACACUGGGACUGAGACACGGCCCAGACUCCUACGGGAGGCAGCAGUAGGGAAUCUUCCGCAAUGGACGAAAGUCUGACGGAGCAACGCCGCGUGAGUGAUGAAGGCCUUCGGGUCGUAAAGCUCUGUUGUUAGGGAAGAACAAGUACCGUUCAAAUAGGGCGGUACCAUGACGGUACCUAACCAGAAAGCCACGGCUAACUACGUGCCAGCAGCCGCGGUAAUACGUAGGUGGCAAGCGUUGUCCGGAAUUAUUGGGCGUAAAGGGCUCGCAGGCGGUUCCUUAAGUCUGAUGUGAAAGCCCACGGCUCAACCGUGGAGGGUCAUUGGAAACUGGGGAACUUGAGUACAGAAGAGGAGAGUGGAAUUCCACGUGUAGCGGUGAAAUGCGUAGAGAUGUGGAGGAACACCAGUGGCGAAGGCGACUCUCUGGUCUGUAACUGACGCUGAGGAGCGAAAGCGUGGGGAGCGAACAGGAUUAGAUACCCUGGUAGUCCACGCCGUAAACGAUGAGUGCUAAGUGUUAGAGGGUUUCCGCCCUUUAGUGCUGCAGCAAACGCAUUAAGCACUCCGCCUGGGGA
rnacentral:rRNA from 1 species